rnacentral:rRNA from 1 species
AGAAUCAACGCUGGCGGCGUGCCUAACACAUGCAAGUCGAACGAGAAAGUGGAGCAAUCCACGAGUAAAGUGGCGCACGGGUGAGUAACACGUGACUAACCUACCCUUGAGUGGGGGAAUAACUGAGGGAAACCUUAGCUAAUACCGCAUAAUACCUACGGGUCAAAGGAGCAAUUCGCUUAAGGAGGGGGUCGCGGCAGAUUAGUUAGUUGGCGGGGUAAUGGCCCACCAAGACAGUGAUCUGUA